rnacentral:rRNA from 1 species
CCUACGGGAGGCAGCAGUGGGGAAUAUUGCACAAUGGGGGAAACCCUGAUGCAGCGACGCCGCGUGAGUGAAGAAGUACUUCGGUAUGUAAAGCUCUAUCAGCAGGGAAGAAAUAGCGACCUUUGGGUCGCCAGACGGUACCUGAUUAAGAAGCCCCGGCUAACUACGUGCCAGCAGCCGCGGUAAUACGUAGGGGGCAAGCGUUAUCCGGAUUUACUGGGUGUAAAGGGAGCGUAGACGGCAGCGCAAGUCUGAAGUGAAAUGCCGGGGCUUAACCCCGGAACUGCAUUGGAAACUGUGCGGCUAGAGUACAGUAGAGGUAGGUGGAAUUCCUGGUGUAGCGGUGAAAUGCGUAGAUAUUAGGAGGAACACCAGUGGCGAAGGCGGCUUACUAGACUGUAACUGACAUUGAGGCUCGAAAGCGUGGGGAGCAAACAGGAUUAGAUACCCGAGUAGUC